rnacentral:ncRNA from 1 species
AGGUUUGAUUCUAGUCUAAAUUAUAGUGUUAUUUUUAUUUGUUUGCAUGAUAUUAUAUGAGGAUGAUUGUUUAUUUAUUUAGCUAUAAAUUUAAAAUUUAUUAUUAAAUUUGGUAAAUAUAUUUUGUAUAAAUUUACAUCAGUAAUUUAGAUUAUACAAUUAAGUAAAUUUUGAUAUAAUAAUUAAUAUUUGGUUUUUGACAAAUUCAGUGCCAGCAGUCGCGGUUAAACUGGUGAGAAUAAUUAUAAUUUUAUAGUUAAAAUGUAGUAUAGAUUUAUAAAAUAUUUUAUUUAAUAUAUGGGUGCAAUCUAUAUUAAAUUAAUUUUUGGAGUUUUAAAUUUAGAUUUACGAAAUUAUUAUAAAAAACCAGGAUUUAACCCUGUUAUUUUUAAUAUAAAUUUUAUAAGCUAGGGGACUAUAAAGCAAAACUUUAAAACUCAAAGAAUUUGGCGGUGUUUUAAAAUCCUUAUAGAGGAAUCUGUUUCGUUAUUGAUAGUCCGCGUAGUACCUUACUUUAUCUAAAAAUUAGUAUACCGUCGUUGGUAGAAUACUUUUAAUAAAAAUAGGAGUUUACUAAACUAGAGUUUUAUCUAUAACAAUAGAUCAAGGUACAGUCUAUGGUAAAGAUGAUAAUGGAUUACAAUUUUUGAUUUAAAUUGCGGAUUUAUAUAUGAAAUUGUGUAAUUAAGUUGGAUUUAUAAGUAAUAUUUAUUAGAAUGAUAAUGUGAAUGGGAGCAAAAAUGUGUACAAAUCGCCCGUCGCUCUUGUUGAAAAAUAAGAUAAGUCGUAACAUAGUUAGGGUAGCGGAAGCUGUUCUUAGUCGUAUAUU